rnacentral:rRNA from 1 species
UUGGAGGGCAAGUCUGGUGCCAGCAGCCGCGGUAAUUCCAGCUCCAAUAGCGUAUAUUAAAGUUGUUGCAGUUAAAAAGCUCGUAGUUGAAUUUUGGAUUCUUCCAAUUGGUCCAUCUUUUAGAUGAGUACUGGUUGUGUGGGGUCUAUCCGCCUGGUGAUACGUAAUGUCCUUUAUUGGAUGUUGCGGGUAGUCAGGACCUUUACCUUGAAAAAAUUAGAGUGUUUAAAGCAGGCUUAUGCCGGAAUACAUUAGCAUGGAAUAAUAGAAUAGGACGAAGUUGUUUUAUUUUGUUGGUUUCUAGGACAACCGUAAUGAUUAAUAGGGAUAGUUGGGGGCAUUAGUAUUCAAUUGUCAGAGGUGAAAUUCUUGGAUUUAUUGAAGACUAACUACUGCGAAAGCAUUUGCCAAGGAUGUUUUCAUUAACCAAGAACGAAAGUUAGGGGAUCGAAGACGAUCAGAUACCGUCGUAGUCUUAACCAUAAACUAUGCCGACUAGGGAUCGGGCGAUGUUGUUUCCAUGACUCGCUCGGCACCUUAUGGGAAACCAAAGUGUUUGGGUUC